CAGCCGCCACGGGAAUACGGAGGGGGCUAGCGUUGUUCGGAAUUACUGGGCGUAAAGCGUACGUAGGCGGCUUUGUAAGUUAGAGGUGAAAGCCUGGUGCUCAACACCAGAACUGCCUUUAAGACUGCAUCGCUUGAACGUCGGAGAGGUGAGUGGAAUUCCGAGUGUAGAGGUGAAAUUCGUAGAUAUUCGGAAGAACACCAGUGGCGAAGGCGGCUCACUGGACGACUGUUGACGCUGAGGUACGAAAGCGUGGGGAGCAAACAGGAUUAGAGACCCCCGUAGUCCCUGUCUCUUAUAC
rnacentral:rRNA from 1 species